rnacentral:rRNA from 1 species
CCUACGGGUGGCAGCAGUGGGGAAUAUUGCACAAUGGGGGAAACCCUGAUGCAGCGACGCCGCGUGAGUGAAGAAGUAAUUCGUUAUGUAAAGCUCUAUCAGCAGGGAAGAAAAUGACGGUACCUGAGUAAGAAGCCCCGGCUAACUACGUGCCAGCAGCCGCGGUAAUACGUAGGGGGCAAGCGUUAUCCGGAUUUACUGGGUGUAAAGGGAGUGUAGACGGCAGUGCAAGUCUGGAGUGAAAGGCGGGGGCUCAACCCCCGGACUGCUCUGGAAACUGUACGGCUGGAGUGCAGGAGAGGGAAGUGGAAUUCGGGGGGGAGGGGUGAAAUGCGUAGAUAUUAGGAGGAACACCAGGGGCGAAGGCGGCUUACUGGA